UGUGGCGGGAGUAUUCAGUCGGAGCGUUUCGGCGCUCGCCGGAAGAGUGGAAGCGAAGGUUCCCGUGACGGGGCCGUUCCGGCGUGGCGAUCUGGGGCGAGCCGACGCAUUUGUUUCCCGCCCGAAGGACGCCGCAACCGGUUGGGAGACGGCCUUAAGGGCGAGUAAUGGCAGGUGGCCGGUGGCGAUGCCUCGUGCGCGUCGCCGGUUGUUAGCCGUCUCGUCGCACGGCACGUUUCCCGACCGUGGCAACAGAGAGGCCUCGUUGGGCUUCGACGUCUCCUCCCUUUAAGGGUUGCGGGUGAAGACGCGCGGCAGGAGAUUGAUGCGGUGUGGGCGCACGGACAGACUCCGUGGCCAGGCGCCGCCUUGUCUCUGUUGGCUGCGCAAGCCCCGCGGGAGUGAACGACGGUUGGCGGCGAGUAGAUCGGUCACCCACCUGACCCGUCUUGAAACACGGACCAAGGAGUUG
rnacentral:rRNA from 1 species